UACGUAGGGUGCGAGCGUUGUCCGGAAUUAUUGGGCGUAAAGGGCUCGUAGGCGGUUUGUCGCGUCGGGAGUGAAAACACCGGGCUUAACUCGGUGCUUGCUUUCGAUACGGGCAGACUAGAGGUAUGCAGGGGAGAACGGAAUUCCUGGUGUAGCGGUGAAAUGCGCAGAUAUCAGGAGGAACACCGGUGGCGAAGGCGGCUCUCUGGGACGGUACUGACGCUGAGACGCGAAAGCGUGGGGAGCAAACAGG
rnacentral:rRNA from 1 species